rnacentral:lncRNA from 1 species
AAAAUCUUUACAUUUGAAUCAUGUAUGUCUAUUGUAUUAAAAAUUAAUUUCAUACAAGACUGAUUAGGCCUAUAAUUGAUUCAUGCUUUUGGUCUUGUUAAUUUACUCAUGAGAAGAAGUGUUAGAGAACAAUCAAUCAAUCUAUCGAUUCAAUUUAUUAUUCAACAUAUACUACAUGUACCUUUUCUCAUUCAUAUCGUCUAUCUCACGAUCAAAUUCAGGCCUCUCGCUAGGAGGAAGAGCCUCCAUCUUCAAAGUGAAGUUCAUAUCAACGGGGCUUGUCACAGUCAAUUCACUGGACGAUGGUGACAUAUCUUUGUCUGAUCUCUUGCCUAUCGGGCCAAAAGUUAAAGCCGAUUGUUCCAAAAUAAUCCCAUUUGCACCUUCCUCCAUUGUCGAUCAACCUGGUAACAAAGCGUACCUCAACUAAUUAACCCAUUAGCCACAAAAAAAAAAAAACAUAUAUAUAAUUAAUUAAUGAGACUAACCAGAAGAAUUAGGAAGAAGAUGAAAAAUGAUUGUUGUGAGAACUACCUCUGUCUUAUUGGUAGGUAAGGAUUAGUUGAUAUAUAUAUUUAAAAUGCAAAAUAUCCAAAUUGCCUUUCACCGAUUUACCCUUCCUUAAUCGUUAUGACGAUAUGUCUAUCCUCUAAA